ensembl:lncRNA novel transcript
AGCAACCUGCUCAGGUCCCCUUCCAUGGUGUGGAAGCUUUGUUCUUUCGCUGUUCACAAUGAAUCUUGCUGCUGCUCACUCUUUGGGUCCGCACUAGCUUUAUGAGCUGUAACGCUCACUGCGAAGGUCUGUGGCUUCACUCCUGAAGUCAGCAAGACCACGAACCCACCGGAAGGAGGAAACAACUCCGGAAGCACCACGUUUAAGAGCUGUAACACUCACUGCGAAAGUCUGCAGCUUCACUCCUGAAGUCAGCAAGACCACAAACCCACCGGAAGGAAGAAAUUCCAGACACAUCUAAACAUUGGAAGGAACAAACUCCAGACACACUAUCUUUAAGAACUGUAACACUCACCGCGAGGGUCUGUGGCUUCAUGCUUGAAGUCAGCCGGACCAAGAACCCACCGGAAAGAACCAAUUCCUGACACAAUCGUUCUUCAUGGUCUAUGACUCCAAGGUCUGAAAUGAUCUCAUUUACCCCACAUGAUAGAUGUGGCCCUUCCAGAUGAGGAGUUCAACAAGACUACAUGGUAGAGCAGCCAGAGAACCCACUGGAAAUAAGGCUCAAAAUAAGGAGUAACCACAAAAUAAGAGACAGAGAAUGCUGAUUCACUAUGCAGUGAAACAUGCCUAACGUGUCAACAGCUAAAUGCCCGGUGACAGUGUGGUUGUCUGGGCAACAGAAGAAGUCACCCACGCAAACACUUAAAGGACCAUACUUAUUUUACAAGAGGAACAGUUUUCAAUGGAAUGGAUAUUAAAACACACACCUGGAUCCCUUUACCACAGGUGCUUUGAGAGGCACCAUCAAGGACAGUGAGCUAACGCAGGAAGGCAGUGUGGAGCUGCUUGAUGGCCUCUGAGUCACAUUGCUUCCCUAGAAGCUUAUUGGCCAGAGUUGCAAAGUUCUGCUGCCUGAGCCAUCUGAGGGCUGUGUCUGCUGUGCUGGUGCCCAUCCAUGUUGGAGCAGAAAGGACCCUAGCUGAAGCUCAGAGGCUGUGACUGGAGCCACGACAGGAAGGGCAGGCUGCUGCUUCUGCAGAACCAGAGGCCUGGGGGAGAGGCCCCAGAGCUCAACACAAAAGCCCCAGAUGAAGCCCUAGUGAGGCCAAGUCCUGUCUGAGACUCUGCCGUUGGGGUUGCCUGUGAGUGGCUGACACUGACCCCUGCCCCCAGCCCCUUUAUUGGGAUUCUGCUGUUCUCAUCCCUGUCCCCUGGUGCAGCUACACACAUUUGCUCAGAAAGAGAGCCCCCAGCAGCUUAGAUUUCAAGAUUUUCUUGUUGGAAAAACACAACUUUUGGAGAAAAUAAAAAUGGCAAAAUGCUAAA